rnacentral:rRNA from 1 species
GAUGAACGCUAGCGGAGGCUUAACACAUGCAUGUCGAGGGACCGGCGGAUGGGUGCGUAACGCGUAUGCAACUUGCCUCACAGAGGAGAACAACCCGGCGAAAUCCGGAAUAAUGCUGCAUACUGUGCCAUAGGCAGGCGUCCUAUUAGGUAGAUGGUGAGUUAACGGCACAACAAGCCGACGAUAGGUAGGGGUGCUGAGAGGCAGCACCCCCCGAUUGGGACUGGGAACUGGGCCAAACACAUAUGGGUGGCAGCAGUGAGGAAUAUUGGUCAAUGGAGGAAUAUCUUAACCAGCCAAGUCGCGUGAAGGAAGAAUUGCUAAGGAUUGUACUCUUCUUUAGCGAGCGAGUAAGUAGCUAGCGAAUAAGUAUCGGCUACCUCCGUGCCAGCAGCCGCGGUAAUAC